UUAAAGCUGCUGUAAAUAGUGGGCAUCAGUAUCUUGGUGCACGUCGGCACAUCUUUGCAUUCAUCCCUCUUUGCUGGCAGAGAAAUGAAUUCCUGCUAUGAAGGCGGCUAAAUUACUGUUCGUGAAUGUUCUGACUCAUUUCUGUCUGUGGAUACUGCCUCAAUCUGUGCUGGAUCGAAUUUACUCCUGCCCGUAUUUAGGCGUAAAUAACUUAAUAUUCCCCUGCAGGGGCAAACCCGAAAGCAGCACGAUACAGACAGGUAUCUUGGAGGCAUCUUAAGGAUCCUGGGGGGAACAAGUCCUUUUCCAAAGUCAAAGUGGAACAUCUAAAAGGGAACCCAAUGCAAACGGACUCCCAAGCACAGGGUGACGACUUCUGAGCUUGAACUGCGUGUCGUUACAAGAGAACUCGAUGCAUGUCCCCAUGGUGCCUAAAACCUCAGAGAAGUCAACUGAAGAAAUGCUUUGGGGAAACACCUCUGUCCUUUUUUGCUGAAUGUAUGUAAUGAUAAAUAAAGACACGUAUUAG